GUGAUACUAGUCAGACAAGCACAAGGAAAUUCCAACAGAGUGACAUGUGCUAAACAGGGGCAAACAAAAUUUAAGAGCACACAGGAGGAGCCUAAUCCAGUCACUGGAGAAUUCAGCUGGCCAACUCCUAUUUGCCCUUCAGGACUCAGUUCAAGAUCUCUAGGAAAUCUCACCUGGCUCCAAUCUAGGGUCUUGCUCUGUUGCCCAGGCUAGAGUGCAGUGACACGAUUACAGCUCACUGCAGCUUCAAACUCAAAGGCUCAAGCAAUCCUCCUGCUGCAGACUCCUCAGUUACUGGGACUAAAGGUUCCAGGCAAAAGUUUGGAAGUCACUGCCCCACACUAUUUAUCAUUGGUCUUAAGUGCUGAACUGCCCCACUCCUGGACCAUUGCUGAAAGGUGUGGCUUCAGAUACAUUUGCAAGCACUUUCUUCUAGCACAGCACUCCUUGUCACUACUGGCUCAUUCUGAACUUUGUGAUUCUACUCUGAACAAGACAAUACCUUCUCAGCCCCAAGAAAAAUAAUAUCUAUUUUUAAGC
rnacentral:lncRNA from 1 species